CUCCCUCAUCGGCGAAGGAAAGAAACGUUCUUCAGUUUAUCUAUCAAAAACCUAACAAAGUUUGUCCGUUUGGAAACAUCCGAUAAAAGUGGAACGAUACGGAGAAAUGGUCCAAAUUGUUGAAAUCUUUAAGCCGAGAAACCUUCACACCUGUGUUCGUCCCUUCCGGGACAUCAGACAAAAUUGGAAUGAUACAGAGAAGAUUAGCAUGACCCCUGCGCAAGGAUGACAAGCACAAAUCGAGAAAUGGUCCAAAAUUUUUUCUUCCCAUUUCUUCAGAGCUCCAUUUUCGUGGGUUUUUGCUUUUUAACUCAAUCUUAUUCAGUUGAACUCUCUAACCUGAGUGCAACAUCCCUGAAGUUGUAGAACAUUGACAUGCUGUAACUUUGAAGCAAGUGUGACCUCAUUCUGGAACUCUUCUACUCCUUGCUUAGAGUAUGCUGAAAGCCGUUUUAUUGCAAUUUCUUGCCCAUCACUUAACCUUCCCUGGGAAAAUAGGGAGUAUGAUUACUAUCUAAACUGGUCAUAAGGCUAUCUUCCCACUUACCGUGUAAAGCUUUUUUCACAUCUUGUCCAACUGCACAAAGUAUCUCAGGUAUUUGCUUGGAGAAGUGGUGACAAUACACAUUGAGUGCUAAAAGUGCAUAAGAUUAGCUUAAUUUUUCUAUUUGUAUGCUCCAAACGAUGAUUUUGAUGCAUCAAUAGGAAGUCAUUUUAAAACUGUUCUUUUUCAUCUCAUUUUGCUUGAUGACUGCUUUUACGAAUUGGACUCCACUGUUUUUACUCUUUUCUGUUUCAGUGAAGUGAAUGAAAACAAACAAACAAAAGUUUUGGCUUCUUCCAAGGACUUUACCGAUAACAAUUGAAGGUAGUUAAAAGGUAUGUUAUGCACUAACUAGGGACUUGUUACUUUUUAGAGUCUUUUGUUUUCUUAAAUGAUUAUGGUUAUUUUUGAAUGCUACCAAGGUGGUAAUUCCAUUUCCCUGCCGUACUUGUUUCUGUACUUCUGAUAUAUUAUGCUUAGGAUUCUCUGAUCUCAUGGCCACCUAGCACUACGACUUAUAAUUCGAAACACUUGUAAAAGGAUAAAGCAAAAGUUGCCCUAGUAGAGCUUUGCUCUAGUGGUAAGAGCCAGCUUGUGAUGUGUGCUUGCGUGGUUUAGGCAUUCAUCACAGGUUUGAACCAUGCCACAAACAAAAGUCUGGUAUUUAAGUGGAGAAGGUAGAAGGCAGGCCGGUCAUCCACCUAGUUUCGAACAGUGGUCCACUGGACCUCAGGGUUUUCUCAUUAUCUUCACAAAAACUAAAAAGAAGCAAAUGUUGGGUUGUC